GUUGAGUUUUAAAGAUAUUAUUCAAAAUGGAUAUCAUAUUGAGACAAUAGAUGAGAAUAAUCUUGAAUUCUUCAUGAAAACGAGGCUGCCCAUCUCGGUUUGGGUUCACGCCAUUUUGCAUGCAGUAAUACUAGUUCGUCGGCUGCCCAUUUCGGUUUGGGGUCACACCAUUUUGCAUGCAGCAAUGCUAGUUCGUCGGCUGCCCACUUUG
rnacentral:lncRNA from 1 species